AUAUGGAUUUGCUUCUAUUUUACCUUAUGUAAUUCUUGCAACAGAGAAGGUGCCUGUUCUAAGGCUCUCUUAUAGGGACACUUUGUUUGGUCCUGUUUGGCUUUAUAUUUUAAAUGUAUUAUUUCACAUCAGACAAGCAUGUUUGUCUGAACAUAGUGGGAAUUUCUUGUAAAUAAACAAAUAUUAAUACCUUUUCAGGAACUCCAAAAUCAAAGAAAAGGCUUCAUCUUCAUUAUAUUUUUCCUUUUUCCCCCUUUUCUCUUUUCCUUCUUUCUUUCUGUGUAUCAUGUAAUUCCGAAUUUAUCUAAAAGCAUGUUUCAUUUUAGCUGUAAUCAUACUGUAUUUUAUCAUGACAAAAAUUGUUCCAUGCAUUUAGAGGGAACAGAGAGCUUUUUAAAAUAAUACCUGAAAUUAUCUUGCUAACCUUAGAAUAGAUUUGGGCUUCUUUUCUAUUAAUUUAAGCUUAUAUCUGAGACAUUAAUCACUCAAAAGAUCCCUGUGCCAAGCUGUGCUAACCUGUCAAUUUAUAGAAAAGUGUUCAUGCAUUUUAGAAUCAGUUAUCAAGUAUGACACAUUUUUAAAAAGGAAGCAAGAACAAGUUGUUGAUUAACUUGCAGGCCCUUGUUCUUGCUGAAACGGGACAACACAGCACCAUAGUCUUCUCUAACCUGGAGGAGUCCUCCAGUACACUAUUGCACUACAGUUCCCAUAAUUCCCAACCACCAUGGCCAUCAGAUCUAGAGGAAGGCUGACAUAAUAGCCCCUCUUAAGGCUCUUUCCCAUACCCUGGGUGAUGUGCUUUCCUUGAGUUUCUAGAGCCAUCCAACUGUCAUUGUGGCAAAAUAACUGUAAUGCGGAUGGGCUUUAUAUCUCUAACAGUGGCUUGUGUUUAUCUGGUCAGAUAACAAUAGCUGUGAAAACUCCCUUUGCCUUGUGGCUCUGAUAAAUAAGGCGCUAUUCAUUUGUGGGGAUUAUUCAUUGCUUUGCCUUGCUAUAUUCCUCACUAGGCAGUGUUUGCUUGAGCACGUAAAUCUGAGGAAUGGGUCUGCUGUCUGUUCAUCCGGCAUUGCGUUUCUUCCUUUCCUCUGCCUGUUUUUCAAGGCCUUCAGAAAAGGCAACAACUUCCUGGUUACUAUCUGACUAUAAGCAUUUGAGUGUUUGGAAAGGGUGUGAACUGGACUGGAACAGAGUGGAGAAAUAAGAGCUGCUGUUGUGCUACCUGCUGAAACAUUUUCCUGGUUGGCCAAGGUGGCUAAGGAGAAAGAAAGCUCUUUUUCCAGAGAAGCCUGAAGAUGGGAGUGAAGGGAAGAAAAGAUCCCAUAUAUUUCCUCCUCCUUGAAGAAACACUCUGCAAGAUAAAGGAUCAAAUGAAUUGUGUUCUAAGGUGCUGAAAAAACUUGCUGCUGAACUGGCAAAUCCUGUGCGCAUCAUCUUUGAGAAAUCCUAGAGAACAGCUUUCUUUGUGUUUGAUGCCAGAGAGAUAAAGAAUCCUCUUAUAAAAGCUCUGCUGGAGUCCCAUACUCUACAUAUGGAAACAUAAUAAAUGAAAUAGAUUUGGAAGAAGCUCUUUCUUGUUGGCAUUUCAGGCUGAUGUCCUCUUGUAAUAAUAAAAAAAGUUCAUUAAG